rnacentral:rRNA from 1 species
GACGAACGCUGGCGGCGUGCUUAACACAUGCAAGUCGAACGGAAAGGCCCUGCUUUUGUGGGGUGCUCGAGUGGCGAACGGGUGAGUAACACGUGAGUAAACUGCCCCUGACUUUGGGAUAACUUCAGGAAACUGGGGCUAAUACCGGAUAGGUGCUCCUGCUGCAUUGUGGGGGUUGGAAAGUUUCGGCGGUUGGGGAUGGACUCGCGGCUUAUCAGCGUGUUGGUGGGGUAGUGGCUUACCAAGGCUUUGCCGGGUAGCCGGCCUGAGAGUGUGACCGGCCACAUUGGGACUGGGAUACGGACCAGACUCCUACGGGAGGCAGCAGUGGGGAAUAUGACACUAUGGGCGGAAGCCUGAGGCAGAAACGCCGCGGGCGGGAGGACGGCCUUCGGGUUAUAGUCCUCUUUCUCCUUUGACGAAGCGUGAGUGACGGUAAUGGGUAGAGAAACACCGGCUAACUACGGU